UUUGCUCCAGCAGCUGGCCCCAGAGCGUAAGCAGAACACCGCAUGCACGAGGUUCACCAUCUUAGACACCCAUCAGCCUUGGCUCGGGCUUUGGUUACAACUUGUGCUGCAUAACGGUUUGGAGUGCUCACAUCCUAGGUGCUGAGGAGUACUUGGCACAGUCUGCCCUGGGUGAGCCUUAUCAACUGUUGGGCAGCAGAGCCCAAAGGUGGGUGAUUCUUUCUCUCCUGCAUGGAAAUUGUGUGAGGCUCUGCUCUGCGGCUCUCCCUUUGCUCAGAAGGCAUGGCCAUCCUUGAGCGCCACCUCGAGGACGGUGUCGGUACUGCGCAUCCUACUCUAGGAGGAGUUCCUUCGGGUCGGACCUCAGGAGACUGCAUCCCUUAUUAGGAAACUGAAAGUUUCACUUUUUAAGAUUCUGCAAAGAAUUGUGCUGGACUUUUGAUGGGGAUGGCACUGAAUCUGUAGACUGCUUUUGAAUGUUACUAAGCUGGUCUCGGAGUUAGAAAGCACAGAUUCGGACGCUUCUGUUCUGACUACGGAAAGUAGCAAGUGAGGCUGGAGUGGGCAGCGAGCAUUCAGAGGGAGUUGGCAGGCAGAUGGUGGGUAGGUGUUAAAAGGGACUAAGCUUCAUACUGAAGCCCAGGCUAGCCAAGAACUCAAAACAAUCCUCCUGCCGCAGUUUCCCGAGUACUGGGAUUACAGGCCCUGGGUUGUGCGAUGCUGGGGACUAAACCAACUGAAAGACGCGGAACCAGGAGGAGCUUUUUGGACACAGAACUCCACCUCGGCAUCUCACCUGCGCC